GUGGAGUCUGGUGGAGAUUUUCCAGCGUUCUCAGUCCUGCUACCAACCUGAACUAGACACUAGGAACAGAUGAGGGUUUAGUCAUGUGCAGCAGAGCUGUUGAUGGAAAGAAGAUCAUUCAUUCAAAACCGUGAAGGGGCAGAGACUGACCUCAAACACCCAGGAUCCACUCUCUGGUCUGUACUCCAGGAAACGUGCACCCUGUUUGCGGGACGCCUUCUCUAACCGGCCCUCAUAAUUCAUGUCCGCCAGGCGGUCGGGGCUCCUGAUCUGAGUGCAGCUGGUUUUGUCGUUGGGCCAGACGCCGUCCAGAGUCACCUCGGCCCGUCUGCCAUUGAGAGAGCAGAUUCAGGGAACAUCAGAGCAGAACAAAACCUCAAUCACGAAGUAUUGUUUUAGCUGAGAGCAGAUAACACGAGGAAAAAAUAAAUCAUCAUAAAGAUGCUUCAGGAGGGCGUGGUGUUUGCAGGUGCCUCUCUGAAAUCCUCUUAAAUAAGGUUUUUCUUUUAAUUAGAUCUCCUGUCACUCACCUGUUAAGCCCCUCCCCCUCAGGUGGCUUGUUUUUGUCAUCGGGAUACACGAUGAC